rnacentral:siRNA from 1 species
UCUCACAUUUCUAUGCUUUUGC